GGCAGAGUUCCAGGAAGUUGGACCCAAGCUGGCAGUGCCCUCAAGGCAUUUGUGCAAACUUUCUGCUGAUCUUACUUUUGAUCCCUACUGUCUGGUCCUCAUACCAUAUCCAAAGAGAAAAUUAGACGGCAGGCAUCCUCAGUCUGGCGAAUUUGAAUAAUCGCUCAUCCUCACAGAAUAAGCAAAAGCUGUUCCAUUCAAAAGGGAGCUCCCUCUCUCUGCAGAUGAAAUUCUGCAUCCAGGAUGCAGAGCUUUGAUGAGCACAAGCAUCCUUGUGCAGGAUCAAGAGGGCAUGCUACCACCACCCCGCCCGAUUCUCUUCUAAGUCAUCUUUCUUCCUUGCUUUAACUUCGAAGCCCUGAGUGACUCGGAUGAAAACAUGUUUUGAAGCAAGAGCUCAUUCUGGGGCGUGUCUCUGUGGAAGAGCUUAAGGUGUCGUCAUUCAACUCGGUACUGGUGGGCAGACAGUGACAGAGAAGGAUGAGAGCGAGGGUGGCAGGGUGUUGCAGGGAGCAGGGCAAGCAUUCAACAUUUCAAACGCUUGGCAGCUCCCAGGAGAUAGGCUGCAGUGGGAGGAAUAAGCCAUCCGUCCUUGUCCAUCUGCGCCUGCGCGCUUGCACAGCUUCUCAACUUUCCUUCAAAGCUUAACACCUCUAGGAUGUGUCUCCACCUUAGCAGGGAUGUGAGACCUGACUCCAGGGGACAGAGAAGCUAGCACACUGGACUCCAGGCAGCUGCCUAGAGGGUGCUGCAGUGUUGAUACAAAAGCAUCUCCAGAUUCACACAGCCUGGAGCAGCUGCACCCAAAAGCUGCCACUCCCUUCCUGUCUGGCUGCUGCCUAGGUGAACACACGUGGAAACCAUUCAGGGCUGUCCUCACCUCUUGCCCACCAAGGACCAAGCCUGCCUUUCUAGCCCAAGCAUAUGGAGCAGUCAUUGGCACUCAGAUACGAAAGACUGGGCAAAGCAAAGAUGCAUAGCCGAAGGUCUCAGGCUCAACUCAAGCUUUGUGGUCCAGACUCAAGCUUUCCAGACUCAAGACUGAACUUAUAACAGGACCCAGAAUGCCCCCAAAGAUGUACUGAACAUGUGUCUGACAAGCUCCAUUUGAUACUCAGUGUUCUGGAAUAUCAGAGAAGGUCUCCCCUUGAAUGAGAGGAACCUUAGAGGCCACUUGAAGCAACUCCAAGUUCAGGAGCCGCUGAGGAAUGAAGAAUUGAAAGAGCAUGACUGGACUUUGGAAAGGAUGCAGUAAGGGUGGUUGAUGGAAUAGGGAAGAUGGAUCUGGGGCAGCUCUUGAGGGAGCCAAGCUUGGCGCGGAUUGGCUGGAGCUUUGAGAGGUGUUGAUGGGAGGAGUCUCCAAGAGCCAUUUGUAAACAUCAGUGCUUCCUGAGUGCCCUGCCACAAUACCCUGCUGUAAAAUGUAUUAUUUUUAGUAUAAAUGUAAAUAGUGAAUUAAUCCU
rnacentral:lncRNA from 1 species